UAUCAGAAGUGCGAAUGCUGACAUAAGUAACGAUAAAGCGGGUGAAAAGCCCGCUCGCCGGAAGACCAAGGGUUCCUGUCCAACGUUAAUCGGGGCAGGGUGAGUCGACCCCUAAGGCGAGGCCGAAAGGCGUAGUCGAUGGGAAACAGGUUAAUAUUCCUGUACUUGGUGUUACUGCGAAGGGGGGACGGAGAAGGCUAUGUUAGCCGGGCGACGGUUGUCCCGGUUUAAGCAUGUAGGCUGGUUGUCCAGGCAAAUCCGGAUAAUCAAGGCUGAGGUGUGAUGACGAGGCACUACGGUGCUGAAGUAACAAAUGCCCUGCUUCCAGGAAA
rnacentral:rRNA from 1 species